rnacentral:lncRNA from 1 species
AGAGAACUCAGAGUUUGUCCUCACACAAGGCAAGAGAGCUGGACUUUCGUACUGUACCUGUCAUUCUCCAGACUCCAGUAGCCUGAGCUGUCACCUAAGAGAGGUCCAGGUGCAGACUGUCAGAGGACAAAGAACACGGUGGCCAGGAGAAGAGCAGUCAGAAAGGAGAAGGGAGACUGAGGACGUGCAGGAAGCACUGACAAUGUCCGGGAGAGAUAAGAAAUGAUGCUACAAUGUAGUAAACAGAUCUCACAUGAAGAUUCUCUGAAACAUUUGUCUGGUGUCCCAGCAGUUACCAUGCCCCUCCUCACAGCAUUUGGAAAAGCCUGCUUUAUUUUCAGAUUCUCUCCCCUGCGAAAUCUCAGCUCUUUCUUAGUCAAUACGGUCAUCAGUAACUUGUGGUACUGUAGUAAAUCUGAAGAAAGCAAGCAAAAAAUAAAAAAAUGUUUGUUGGACUCUCAGUGACCUUUGAAAAUAGUCACAAGCAAGGGGAAAACUCCAUGGAGCUGAAAGGAAAAUACCUGUGCACCAAACCCUGCCUUCCCCUUUCACAUAGCAGGUGGUCUGUGCUGCAUAACCCACUGGUCAUGUGACCAAGCCCUUGUACGGGGGCUGAGAAUGAGAGCAAUGUGAUGUGGACCACCUCCAGGCCUGGCCCUCAAAACCACCUGUGACAUUGUUAGAAUAAUCCUCCUUUAAGUAAAAACUACAUUCCUAUCAUAGCUAUUUGCUAAUCUUUAUUUCUUUCUUCUGAAGUACAUAUGAUCACUUUCUUCCAUUUGCCUUUUUCUAACUCUAAGAAUCUGUGAUUUCAUAACUAAGCUCAGCAUGCCUUUUCAAAUGACUCAGUGAUUAAAACUGAGGGCAUCCAGUUGAUCUUAGGGACUUCCCUAUUGCUCAGAUGGUAAAGAAUCUUCCUGUAAUGCAGGAAACCUGGGUUUGAUCCCUGGGUCAGGAAGAUCCCC